rnacentral:rRNA from 1 species
AGCAGUGGGGAAUAUUGGACAAUGGGCGCAAGCCUGAUCCAGCCAUGCCGCGUGAGUGAUGAAGGCCUUAGGGUUGUAAAGCUCUUUUACUCGGGAAGAUAGUGACGGUACCGAGAGAAUAAGCCCCGGCUAACUUCGUGCCAGCAGCCGCGGUAAUACGAAGGGGGCUAGCGUUGUUCGGAAUUACUGGGCGUAAAGCGCACGUAGGCGGAUCUUUAAGUCAGAGGUGAAAUCCCAAGGCUCAACCUUGGAACUGCCUUUGAUACUGGGGAUCUUGAGUCCGGAAGAGGUGAGUGGAACUGCGAGUGUAGAGGUGAAAUUCGUAGAUAUUCGCAAGAACACCAGUGGCGAAGGCGGCUCACUGGUCCGGUACUGACGCUGAGG